UCAACUCUCAAAAAAUUGAAAAGAACUGGAAAGUAAAGGAAUGUCCAUUAUUUUGGAGAAUGGCUGAACAAGUUUUAUAUAAUUAAAAAGGAAUACUACUGUGCCAAAAGAAAUGAUGAACAAGAACACAAAACAACCUGGAAAGGCUUAAGAAGUGAUGCAAAGUGAAGUGAAUAGAAACAGGAGAGCAUUGUAUAUGGUAACUGAAAUAAAGUAUGCUGAUCAACUAUGAAUGACAACUAGUGUCAGAAAUGCAAGGAUCCAAGACCACUCCAAAGAACUUAUGAAGAAAAACUAUUCAAAACCAACACAGAAUAAACUGUUAGAGGCUAAGUGAAGAUUGAAGGAUACUAUUUUCCCAUGAAUUCACCUGAAUUUUUCUCUAGUCACUGUCCAGGAAGACAUUUUGAUAUGCACCACAUCAUGAAAGAAGAUAUAUAUCGCAUAUACAAAAAAGCAUCAUGGAUGAAAUAAAGUGAAAAAUGCUUUGCUUCUAUCUCCCUUCAGAUUCAGAAAGUUCCUUCCAUGACCGAGGAUAGCAUUUAUCAUUGUGAGUCAGUCCCUUGG
rnacentral:lncRNA from 1 species